rnacentral:rRNA from 1 species
UACGAAGGGGGCUAGCGUUGCUCGGAAUGACUGGGCGUAAAGGGCGCGUAGGCGGUUUGUAUAGUCAGAUGUGAAAUUCCCGGGCUCAACCUGGGGGCUGCAUUUGAUACGUGCGGACUUGAGUGGGGAAGAGGGUCGUGGAAUUCCCAGUGUAGAGGUGAAAUUCGUAGAUAUUGGGAAGAACACCGGUGGCGAAGGCGGCGACCUGGUCCUUGACUGACGCUGAGGCGCGAAAGCGUGGGGAGCAAACAGG